rnacentral:rRNA from 1 species
UACGGAGGGUGCGAGCGUUAAUCGGAAUUACUGGGCGUAAAGCGUGCGUAGGCGGCUCGUUAAGUCAGGUGUGAAAGCCCUGGGCUCAACCUGGGAACGGCAUUUGAAACUGGCGAGCUAGAGUUUGGGAGAGGAGAGUGGAAUUUCAGGUGUAGCGGUGAAAUGCGUAGAGAUCUGGAGGAACGCCAGUGGCGAAGGCGACUCUCUGGCCUAAAACUGACGCUGAGGUACGAAAGCGUGGGUAGCAAACAGG